AGCUCCAAUAGCGUAUAUUAAAGUUGUUGCAGUUAAAAAGCUCGUAGUUGAACCUUGGGCCUGGCUGGCCGGUCCGCCUCACGGCGAGCACUGGUUAUUCGGCUGGGCCUUUCCUUCUGGCUAGCCGGCAUGCCGUUUAUUCGGUGUGUCGGGGAACCAGGACAUUUACUUUGAAAAAAUUAGAGUGUUCAAAGCAGGCAUUUGCUCGAAUACAUUAGCAUGGAAUAAUAGAAUAGGACGCGUGGUUCUAUUUUGUUGGUUUCUAGGACCACCGUAAUGAUUAAUAGGGAUAGUCGGGGGCAUCAGUAUUCAAUUGUCAGAGGUGAAAUUCUUGGAUUUAUUGAAGACUAACUACUGCGAAAGCAUUUGCCAAGGAUGUUUUCA
rnacentral:rRNA from 1 species